rnacentral:rRNA from 1 species
GCCGGCAGUUAGCUCUCUGCAACUCUUACAUGGUCGCUGAAGCUAAGCAGGCCUGCACCCUGUCAGUAGCUGGAUGGGAGACCACAUGGGAAAGCUAGGUUGCUGCAGGAG